UACGGGCGGAGCAAGCGUUGUUCGGAUUUAUUGGGUGUAAAGGGUGCGCAGGCGGUCGAUUAAGUCUGAAGUGAAAUGUCUACGGCUCAACCGAGACACUGCUCCAGAUACUGGUUGACUUGAGUGCGGAAGGGGAGCGUGGAAUUCCUGGUGUAGCGGUGAAAUGCGUAGAUAUCAGGAGGAACACCGGUGGCGAAGGCGACGCUCUGGUCCGUAACUGACGCUCAUGCACGAAAGCCAGGGGAGCGAACGGG
rnacentral:misc_RNA from 1 species